rnacentral:rRNA from 1 species
GCAUAUCAAUAAGCGAGGAAAAGAAACCACCGGGAUUGCCCCAGUAACGCGAGUAAAGCGGCAAGAGCUCAAAUUUGAAAUCUGGCCCCCCGGGGCCCGAGUUGUAAUUUGCAGAGGAUGCUUCGGGUGCGGCCCCUGUCUAAGUGCCCUGGAACGGGCCGUCAGAGAGGGUGAGAAUCCCGUCUUGGGCAGGGUGCCCGUGCCCGUGUGAAGCUCCUUCGACGAGUCGAGUUGUUUGGGAAUGCAGCUCUAAAUGGGUGGUAAAUUUCAUCUAAAGCUAAAUACCGGCCGGAGACCGAUAGCGCACAAGUAGAGUGAUCGAAAGAUGAAAAGCACUUUGAAAAGAGAGUUAAAUAGCACGUGAAAUUGUUGAAAGGGAAGCGCUUGCGACCAGACUCGCCCCCGGGGUUCAGCCAGCACUCGUGCUGGUGUACUUCCCCGUGGGCGGGCCAGCGUCGGUUCGGGGGGCCGGUCAAAGGCCCCGGGAAUGUAUCGCCCUCCGGGGCGUCUUAUAGCCCGGGGUGCAAUGCGGCCAGCCCGGACCGAGGAACGCGCUUCGGCACGGACGCUGGCGUAAUGGUCGCAAACGACCCGUCUUGAAACACGGACCAAGGAGUCUAACAUCUACGCGAGUGUUCGGGUGUCAAACCCGUACGCGCAGUGAAAGCGAACGGAGGUGGGAGCCCCCCCGGGGGCGCACCAUCGACCGAUCCUGAUGUCUUCGGAUGGAUUUGAGUACGAGCGUAGCUGUGGGGACCCGAAAGAUGGUGAACUAUGCCUGAAUAGGGCGAAGCCAGAGGAAACUCUGGUGGAGGCUCGCAGCGGUUCUGACGUGCAAAUCGAUCGUCAAAUUUGGGUAUAGGGGCGAAAGACUAAUCGAACCAUCUGGUAGCUGGUUCCUGCCGAAGUU